rnacentral:rRNA from 1 species
UACGGAGGAUCCAAGCGUUAUCCGGAAUCAUUGGGUUUAAAGGGUUCGUAGGCGGUUUAAUAAGUCAGUGGUGAAAUCUCCUAGCUUAACUAGGAAAUGGCCAUUGAUACUGUUAGACUUGAAUUAUUGGGAAGUAACUAGAAUAUGUAGUGUAGCGGUGAAAUGCUUAGAUAUUACAUGGAAUACCAAUUGCGAAGGCAGGUUACUAUCAAUACAUUGACGCUGAUGAACGAAAGCGUGGGUAGCGAACAGG